AAGGGCACCACAAGAACGCGUGGAGCAUGUGGCUUAAUUUGACUCAACGCGGGAAAUCUUACCGGGUCCGGACACACUGAGGAUUGACAGGCAAUAUUAAUACGUAUGUUUUUUAUCAAACAUUUUCGUAUUAUGUUAAAUAUGCUAGUCCUUUCAUGAUUAUGUGAUAGGUGGUGCAUGGCCGUUCUUAGUUCGUGGAGUGAUCUGUCUGCUUAAUUGCGUUUCACUAAGGGCCUAUAAACUUACGUGUGUUGCGGCACUUUGACCCCUUUCUUAUUCAGAAAGCGCGCGUCUUAGUUUGCUUUGCUCACACAAUUAGGUCCUGAAAGCAACGAACGUGACCGCAACCUCUUGUUGCCUUUAUACCAAACAUGUUUGUUAUUUUUAUAACAUUCAUGAAAAAAGGCUUUUUAAACUAGAGGGACCGCUGUUACUUUCUUAAACCAGAGGAAGGUUGCGGCAAUAACAGGUCUGUGAUGCCCUUAGAUGUUCCGGGCUGCACACGUGCUACAAUGAUUAUUGCAGUGAGCAUCUCAUUUUUACACACCGCAUGCGCGAGUCCAUUUAUUCACUUCGGUGCUUUAAAUGUGUAUCUCUGCGCGCGGUAAAGCCUGCUUCGAAAGUAAGUGGGUAAUCAAUUAGAAGUAAUGAUUUCCUUUUUUAGCACACAUAUAUACGGCGUCUAUACCCGGGUUACCUUGUUGUAACUUUUGUGCGUAUAGAUGUUUUUUCCGUAUGUGCGAUUGUCAAUUCAUGGUGGGGACAGACCAUUGUUAAUUGUUGGUCUCGGUCUUAACUAGGAAUGCCUUGUACGGGUCUUUGGUUCAACAAACCACCCGGAAUACGUCCCUGCCCUUUGUACACACCGCCCGUCGCUCUUACCGAUGGACUUCUCUGUGAGUUUGAGGGACUGGGAACGCAGAAUUUAUUCUGCACACCUAUGGAAACUUAAACGAACAGUGUGGUCUAAAGGAAAGAGAAGUCGUAACAAGGCAUCGGUAGGUGAACCUGCAGAAGGAUCA
rnacentral:rRNA from 1 species